GGAGUUGUGGCUCAGUGGUAGAGCACUUGCCUGGAUUUGAUCCUCAGCACCACAUAUAAAUAAUAAUAAUAAAAAGAUCCAUUUACAAUUAAAAAAAAAUUUUUUUAAAGAAAUUUAAAAAAAGAGCUGAGGAUGUGACUUAAUGAUCGAGUGUUACUGGGUUCAAUUCCCAGUACAACCCCU
rnacentral:tRNA from 1 species